rnacentral:rRNA from 1 species
UAGCGGCGAGUGAAGCGGCAAGAGCUCAGAUUUGAAAUCGUGCUAAUUUUUUUGGCACGAGUUGUAGAGUGUAGGCGGGAGUCUUUGUGGAGCACGGUGUCCAAGUCCCUUGGAACAGGGCGCCUGAGAGGGUGAGAGCCCCGUGGGGUGCCGUGCGAAGCUCUGAGGCCCUGCUGACGAGUCGAGUUGUUUGGGAAUGCAGCUCCAAGUGGGUGGUAAAUUCCAUCUAAGGCUAAAUACUGGCGAGAGACCGAUAGCGAACAAGUACUGUGAAGGAAAGAUGAAAAGCACUUUGAAAAGAGAGUGAAACAGCACGUGAAAUUGUUGAAAGGGAAGGGUAUUGGGCCCGACAUGGGGAGUGCGCACCGCUGUCUCUUGUAGGCGGCGCUCUGGGCGCUCUCUGGGCCAGCAUCGGUUCUAGCUGCGGGAGAAUGGGUGCCGGAAAGUGGCU